CAGUAGCCGCGGUAAUACGAAGGGUGCGAGCGUUACUCGGAAUUACUGGGCGUAAAGCGUGCGUAGGUGGUGGUUUAAGUCCGUUGUGAAAGCCCUGGGCUCAACCUGGGAAUUGCAGUGGAUACUGGGUCACUAGAGUGUGGUAGAGGAUAGUGGAAUUUCCGGUGUAGCAGUGAAAUGCGUAGAGAUCGGAAGGAACAUCUGUGGCGAAGGCGACUAUCUGGGCCAACACUGACACUGAGGCACGAAAGCGUGGGGAGCAAACAGGAUUAGAUACCCGGGUAGUCCCUGUCUCUUAUAC
rnacentral:rRNA from 1 species